GGGGGUGACAGGCUUCGACUCCGGUCGUCGAUGUGGGAGAAGCGAGCCGUGGUCUCCGGAGCCACGUUAAAGAGCCGGAAACCAAAACAAACGCCGAGCCUCAGCUCGCGCUCGCUGCCUAAGAACAGCGACGUCCGGCCGGUCUCAGCCCUUCGGGCCGGGUCCGGGCGACAUCUAGAAGGGCUCACCUGAGCGGUCCUGCCGACGGGCCGCCAGGGACAUCUACGUCGGAUACGGGGUGACAUCGAUGCCGGUGCAGGCGUCGCCCCCGACAAUCCUCCACCGGCUGCGCUCGGAGAAGACCCAUUGAGAAGCCGGAGGACGCGGGUUCGAUUCCCGCCACCUCCACUC
rnacentral:tmRNA from 1 species